GACGAACGCUGGCGGUAUGCUUCAUACAUGCAAGUCGAACGAUAAGGCCCUUCGGGUACGAUAAGUGGCGGACGGGUGAGUAACACGUAGGAAAUCUGCCUCGAGGCGGGGGAGUAACAUCGGGAAACUGGUGAUAAUACCCCAUAUGUGCUAAACUGAAAUGUUUAUCAUGAAAGUUCCGGCGCCUUGAGAUGAGCCUGCGGCUGAUUAGCUUGUUGGUGGGGUAAAGGCCUACCAAGGCGACGAUCAGUAGCUGGUCUGAGAGGAUGAUCAGCCACAAUGGGACUGAGACACGGCCCAUACUCCUACGGGAGGCUG
rnacentral:rRNA from 1 species